rnacentral:lncRNA from 1 species
AGCCAGUUUGAGAUGCAGCCUUGGUCCCAAUAGGAUACAAGUACUUCCAGACUUAGGAUCCUCCGGCGCUGGUGGUGUUCUUAGUCACUGCUAAUUUCUCAUCCAGCUAACCAGUAUCAGCUGUCUCAGGAAAGCAAAGGCUGUCUUCAAUGGUCCUGGUCUCUUAUUAAUCACAGCUGAGUCUUCAGCUCCAUCUGACCAGGAAGCACAGAUUCCUAAUUCAAAAUGUCAUACAACCCUAUGGUCUUUCUAGGGACUCUUAAACUUCCCUCUGAAAUGUCAUAAGCCAGGCCUCCAAUGUCUAUAUCACUCUCAACUGGGGUUUCUUCUUUCAGAAUGACUUUCUCUUGUGUCAAGUCAUAACUUUAGCUGGCCCACACCCUGAUCUUGGACUUAAGCUUUCAUAACUGUGAGAAGUAAAUGUGGUUUUUUUUUGUUUUUGUUUGUAAGCUAUCAUGUCUGCAGUAAUGGAUAGCAGUAAGAGUCAGCUAAGGAACAGUAAGGUACAUUUAAGGACCAUGUGAAAAGUUUGGAUUCGCCAAAUCUUAGAGUGCAUCACUCUCCUAGCUCAGAGUAACUGUAGUGAGCAUUUUCAUAGGCAUUUCUAUUCACGAAGAAGCCAUACCUAUACACUACUUUAAAUCGCAGGUUACUGUCUUCCUGAUGUGAUGGCUUCUCAUUAAAGAAGAGUGGCCGGCAGUAGAGUAGAAGCUGUAGUUUGUUUGUAGGAGCUGAAUUGCCUGUUAAUACUGAUGUAACUAUUGCAUGAAACAAAUGAGUACUGAUGUUAGUUGGUCUACUUUAUGUACCUGACUAGUUUUCACUCUCUUCUUUCUUUCUGUUCAUUCCUUCACUUGGUGCAAUACCACUUUAUUAAUUUUAAUAUUUUAAAAGUGUAUCCUGGCCAACUAACUUAGCAAACAAACAAACAAACAACCCCCCCCAAAAAAAAACAGGUUCCUUCACAAAUGUCCUUCCUUUCUUUCUCACCCCCCCCUUCUUCCCCUAUCACCACUUCCUUGAACAUGCCAGGAUUUUUUUGAGUUUUUUUAAAAGAUUUAUUUAUUUAUUAUAUGUAAGUACACUGUUGCUAUCUGCAGACACACCAGAAGAGGGCAUCAGAUCUUAUUACAGAUGGUUGUGAGCCACCAUGUGGUUGCUGGGAUUUGAACUCAGGACCUUGAGAAGAGCAGCAGUGCUCUUAACCACUGAGCCAUCUCUCCAACUCUGUUUUGUGUUCUUUUAAACAAAUUUUACUGGAUAUGUUUAAGAUAUAGAUCAUGAUGUUGUAAAAUAUGUACACACACAUAUACAGAAACACAUGCAUGCGCAUGUGUAUAAACUUUCUCCCAUUAACAAACAUAUAUAUUGUCUCUCAUACUUAUCCAUUCCUUCCCGUGUGGCAGGAGCAUUAUAAUCUACUAACUAAGCAAAUGUUCUGAGUACGACAUGUUAUUAGUACAAUGCUUGCCUUUGUUUGACUUUUGUGAUUUUUAAUGUUUUCUUUCAGACCUUACUGGCAAUGUCAUAGCUCAUCUUGAAAGUUUUCUAAACUCUCUAAGUAAAAAAAAUUGGACUGUUUCUAUUCUAGGUUGACUUGUCAAAGGACCUCCCUCACUGGAACAAGCUUAAAUCCGACGAGAAGUAUUUUAUCUCCCACAUCUUAGCCUUUUUUGCAGCCAGUGAUGGAAUUGUAAAUGAAAACUUGGUAAGAUUUUUAUUUUACCAUUGUUCUUGUUUUGUACUUGAAUGACAGUAAGAUCACCAUAUCUCCUGCCUGAGGAAAGAAAGUCUCCCAGUGAUGGAGUAGAUGAACAUUCAUUAACUGUUGUUUAAAGUGUGCAUGUGCAAGCAGAGGCCAGAGAACCGUAGCUGUCUGCCUCUGUUGCUCUCUGCCUUAUUCCCUUGAGAGCAAGUCUCUUUAUUGAACUUGGAGCUCAUCGUUACUAGGUUAAGCUGACUGCAGAGAGAACCUCUCAGGCCCUCUGUCAGGUGCCUCAGCACUGGGUUUGCAGGCUCACAGACAUGGCUAGAUGCUUAUGUGAGUGCUAGGGAGUUUAAACCCAGCAAAGGCAUCUCCCCAGAUUAAGUUAUGAGUAUAUUUUUCUCAUGAAGUUUCCCAGGAAAAGGUAGCUAACUGUCAAAUGACUAGUGAUCUAUUACAAAAUCAAGCAUAAAUUAUACCAAUUAAAACUACACACAGUGAUAGGGCUGAACCUGUCCCUGUGACUAUAUAUGCUUGGCUAGCAUUACAGAGGCCCUGAGUUUUAUCCUCAGUGACGUGAAAACAAGAUCCAGAAGAAGCACAGAGUUCAUAAACUUGAUUUUCCCCUCAGCUCAGAAUGUGUUCUUUAUGACCCUCUGCAAGUCUGUGUAGAUCGUCCUUAUUCAGAAAUCGUAUUAUGACCAGUUGGAAGGAAUUGGAUUUUGUUAAGGAACAUCAAUAAUGAACCAGAAGAACUUAAAUUGAUCAGUCUACUAUUAGGAAAGAAGUUCUACAAAGCAAAAUCACUGUUUUGUGUUUUUGGAGAUAUUCUAAAAUUUAGUGUUCAGUAGCAGUAUUUCCACAUAAAAGAUAAAUUCAUCCUAUUGCUUUGGAACACAGUCUUUGGAGUUGUAGGUACAGCUCAAUGGGCACCUGCCUAAUAUAAGUAAAAUGCUGGGCUCAAUCUCCAGCACCAGAAUUUCUGGCUGAACAGUACUGCUAAAGUUGCUGCUUUAAAAGAUCCAUAAAGGCUGAGCAUAUGUAUUGCUUGGAAGAGAGUGUUGGCCUAACAUGACUAAGAUGCUGGGUUCAGUCCAGGGAACUACAAG